rnacentral:lncRNA from 10 species
GUGGUGGCAUGCACCUGUGGUCCCAGCUACUCGGGAGGCUGAGGUGGGAGGAUGCCUUGGGCUCAGUCCUCCUCAAGCCAAUCUCAUCUCAAAUUGCACCUCCUCAGAGAGGUCUUCCAUAACCGCCCUUAUAAAGCAGGAUUCUUUCACCAAUACCCCUUCCCACAUGGCACUGUCUCACAGCACUCCUCUAAAAGUCUGUUUACUUCCUUGACAAUCUGUCUUCCUUAUAAGGGGAGGUUCUGUAAAAGCCAAGACUCUCUCUGUCUAGUUGACUGUUGCAUACCAGGGCUUAGACCAAGGCCCUGACAUGCAGUAGGUGCUUAAUAUGUUUUGAGGCAAGGUCUUGCUCUGUUGCACAUGCUGGAGUGCAGUGGCACAAUCGUAAUUCAUUGCAGCCUUGAACUCCUGAGCUCAAGUGAUCCUCCUGCCUCAGCCUCCUGAGUAGCUGGGACUACAGGCAUGCACCACCAAGCUUGGCUAAUUUAAAAAAAAAAUUAUAUAGAUAGGGACUUGCUAUGUUGCCUAGGCUGAUCUUGAACUCCUAACCUCAAGCAAUCCUCCCACCUCGGCCUUCCAAAGUGCUGGGAUAAUAGGCAUGGAGCCGCCACACCCAGCCAAUGUGCCGAAGAAAG